GUUAGAAGAUGCAAGUGUUUACAGAGCGCCAAGGAGGACAAAGAAGCAGUUUGAUUCUGGUAAUCAGGAGGUUUCUGACUUAAGCCUUGAACGGGAUUUUGGCCGAAAGGAACAAGAUAAGCGAAGGCCCAGAGGCUGUCCUGGGAGUGUUGGUACUCUGGUCUGGCUGCAGCUCAGCUGCCAUGUUUGAAGAUCCUAGGAGUUUCUCUAGACCGUCACUACCCAGUAUGGUAGCCACUGGCCACAGGUGAAAGGGAAACAAAGGUGACUACUGGAAAUAGCGGACUCUGGUGGAAAUAAGGGUCUCUCAGCUCUGUGCCCCCGGCCUCCCCAUCAGCAUCUCUUUACUUCCUUUCCUCUCUCAUUCAGCCUCCUUGAGUACAGUGUACAAUACAGCUCUGUUGAAAGACUGUGCCAUUUUAACUCAGUGUGAGUGAGUUACCUGUAAUAAAAGUGCACUGUA